AGCCAGUCCCUGGCUGGGGCCAGAGGGGUGAGGAAGGGAGCUUGGCCUGGCCUGCAGGAGCUUGGCCCUGGGGGAGAGAGACCCUGAGAACUGUAACCCUGAGGUAACAAGCGAAGAUAAAGGGACUGGAUAGGAAGAGGCCCAGGGAAAAGAGCAGCAGCUAAUUAAAGGAAGCAACAGGUGGCUCUGUGGAUACGGUCUCUGGGUCUGGACCUGAGUGGUGGACAGGCCUGGGAACUCCCUCCGGGAAAGAGGCCUAAGCCUUGAGGUGGGGACAAGGCUCCUUUAGAAGCCCAUGUGAAAAGCAGAAUUUAAAGGGCCCACAAACGGGGCUGAAAACCCUGGUGAGGCUGACAGCUUGUUGAACUCGUUGCUACCCCAGAAGGGGUUCAUCCAUUAUUGGCUGUAUGACUUGGUCGGAGGGCUGAGCCAAUGAAGACCUGUCUAGCGAGGUCAGCAUGCUACAGGGGGUGCCAGGAGCGGGAAGAGAGAUCACAACAUCACACCCUGCUGAUAGGAGGCUGCUGGAGAUAAAUCAGCCAGCUGGUUGCACCGGACAGUGAAGGACAAAAUGAAUGAUGGGAAUCAGUUAUCCUGUGUCAGAUGAGGCUCCCAGGUAUUCUGGACCAGAUUUCCUUGGGCUCCAACCUGUUACUAUUCCACUCCUGCAGCCUGAUCACCUUUUGCUAGGAUCUCAUUAGGUUUAACCAGCUAAGCAGCAUCAGCUUGGGUUAAUGUUUGACUGUGAGAUUUUCAAUUAAAGUCCAUGAUGCUCUAA